AUACGUAGGGGGCAAGCGUUAUCCGGAUUUACUGGGUGUAAAGGGAGCGUAGACGGCUAAAUAAGUCAGAUGUGAAAGCCCAGGGCUCAACCCUGGGACUGCAUUUGAAACUAUGUAGCUAGAGUGCAGGAGAGGUAAGUGGAAUUCCUAGUGUAGCGGUGAAAUGCGUAGAUAUUAGGAGGAACACCAGUGGCGAAGGCGGCUUACUGGACUGUAACUGACGUUGAGGCUCGAAAGCGUGGGGAGC
rnacentral:rRNA from 1 species